UCCAUCGUGAGGUGGAAGUCUUUUGGAAGACGGAGGCAUAGUCUUGGCUCGACGAACAGAAACCACAUAGAAGGCUGUAUAAACUGGAUGAGUUUGCUAAACAAAACAAACUCCAAUACUACCCGAGGUUUAUGCAGUAAAUGUGGCGAGUAGAUUAUAUGAAAGUAUUAACA
rfam:Haloplasma contractile SSD-17B Contig1, whole genome shotgun sequence.